AGCGAACGCUGGCGGCAGGCUUAACACAUGCAAGUCGAGCGGGCACUUUCGGGUGUCAGCGGCGGACGGGUGAGUAACGCGUGGGAACGUGCCCUCUGGUUCGGAAUAACUCAGGGAAACUUGAUCUAAUACCGGAUACGCCCUUUUGGGGAAAGGCUUGCUGCCGGAGGAUCGGCCCGCGUCUGAUUAGCUAGUUGGUGAGGUAACGGCUCACCAAGGCGACGAUCAGUAGCUGGUCUGAGAGGAUGAUCAGCCACACUGGGACUGAGACACGGCCCAGACUCCUACGGGAGGCAGCAGUGGGGAAUAUUGGACAAUGGGCGCAAGCCUGAUCCAGCCAUGCCGCGUGAGUGAUGAAGGCCUUAGGGUUGUAAAGCUCUUUUAUCCGGGACGAUAAUGACGGUACCGGAGGAAUAAGCCCCGGCUAACUUCGUG
rnacentral:rRNA from 1 species